rnacentral:misc_RNA from 1 species
AAAAAAAAGGAAAAAAAAAAAAGGAAAAAAAAAUCCAUAAUAAAUCUCAAAAACCUACAACAAGAGCAUACAGAAGAGGUUCACAAUGAUUAGAUUGUUGUAAUCAAUGUCUCAGCAAAGACUAAAUGUCCAUCAUGUUUGCAUGGACUAUUUGUUCAGUCCCAGCAUUUAUAUUCAAAACCAAGAGGAAUAAAUGGAAGUUUGAAACAUGAUUAAGACAAUAAACCACAUAGAUCAUCCUCCAACUUCUAUAAUAUACCUAAACCAUGCUCCAAAACUCGAAAGUUUGUAAUGUUAACCACAAACUAUCACCAAAUGUUUCAAACUUUCACCUACCACACAAUCUCAUUAAUAGAUCUGCAGCAUUAGGUCACAUAACAAAUACAUGAUUGGAUCUUAAGAAAGAAGAAAAUUUCACAAAAAAUAGUAUAUAACCAACUCAAUCAAUGGCCAUGUUCCUUUCACCAUCAUUACAAAAUAAAUUAAAAAGAUUACAUAUUGAAUUAUUUUUUUAUAAGAAAAAUCUAGCCAGUGAGUGUUAUCAAGUCUCUUGCAAUGUAAGUGCUUGUACUGUACAAGCGGAAUUUUCGGUUAAAAUAAAACAUAAGCCU